AACGAACGCUGGCGGCAGGCUUAACACAUGCAAGUCGAGCGCCCCGCAAGGGGAGCGGCAGACGGGUGAGUAACGCGUGGGAAUCUACCCAUCUCUACGGAAUAACGCAUGGAAACGUGUGCUAAUACCGUAUACGUCCUUCGGGAGAAAGAUUUAUCGGAGAUGGAUGAGCCCGCGUUGGAUUAGCUAGUUGGUGGGGUAAAGGCCUACCAAGGCGACGAUCCAUAGCUGGUCUGAGAGGAUGAUCAGCCACACUGGGACUGAGACACGGCCCAGACUCCUACGGGAGGCAGCAGUGGGGAAUAUUGGACAAUGGGCGCAGGCCUGAUCCAGCCAUGCCGCGUGAGUGAUGAAGGCCCUAGGGUUGUAAAGCUCUUUCACCGGUGAAGGUAAUGACGGUAACCGGAGAAGAAGCCCCGGCUAACUUCGUGCCAGCCGCCGCGGUAAGAC
rnacentral:rRNA from 1 species